GGAGGAGCACGGAGUGUGGCACAGCACCAAGAGAGCAGUGACCAGCUCGGAUGUGCCGAAGGACAUCACGGACAUCCAGGGUUUGCUCUCGUGGAUCAAUGAGGUGGCAAGAGCUGUUGAGGUCCCCCGUGAGAACCCCAGCAGCCCUGCCCCAGGA